rnacentral:rRNA from 1 species
AUUGAACGCUGGCGGAAUGCUUUACACAUGCAAGUCGAACGGCAGCACGGACUUCGGUCUGGUGGCGAGUGGCGAACGGGUGAGUAACAUAUCGGAACGUAUCCAAUAAUGGGGGAUAACGAGUCGAAAGAUUCGCUAAUACCGCAUACGCCCUACGGGGGAAAGCUGGGGACCUUCGGGCCUGGCGUUAAUGGAGCGGCCGAUAUCUGAUUAGCUAGUUGGUGAGGUAAAGGCUCACCAAGGCGACGAUCAGUAGCUGGUCUGGGAGGACGACCAGCCACACUGGAACUGAGACACGGUCCAGACUCCUACGGGAGGCAGCAGUGGGGAAUUUUGGACAAUGGGCGCAAGCCUGAUCCAGCCAUUCCACGUGAGUGAAGAAGGCCUUCGGGUUGUAAAGCUCUUUCGCAAGGGAAGAAGACUUAGCCACUAACAUUGGUUGAGGUUGACGGUACCUUGAUAAGAAGCACCGGCUAACUACGUGCCAGCCGCCGCAGUAA